GGACUCUUCACCAGCCCCGUCUCCAUCGCCCGGCUGCCAUCACAGCUGGCAUCGACACUGACCCUCCAGCUGCAGCACCAGACCCUGGGGAAACCUGCAGUCCGAGAGAGCCUGACAGCCCCCAGAGCAAAACCUUCAGCUGUCCCAGGAGAAGGACACUCGGGGAGCCAGCCAGAGCUGGCUGCUUUCAGCACCAGGGGACAACUCUAGGAAAAAGCCGAGCCACUGAGUCAAGGAGGGCCUUCCCUCCGCUGCAGACAGCAAGCCCCUUCCAGGCGCUUCCCCGCAGCUGCAGCAGCAAGCGCCCCUGUGACAGGCCGGGAAUGCUCACGGAGAAAACCCAGAGCUGUCUACACUUCCCCUCACUGGCUUCCCCUUCUCUCAGCAGCGGCAGGCUCAGGAAAGGUGAGCAGGGCCCUCCACGCUUAGUCACCCAAAAGAUCUGGGGGCCCAGCGGGGAAAGGUCUCAUUCCAUCUCCUCCAGGACCCUGGGGGAGUAGCAUGGUUCUAACUGUGGCCUGAGACCCUCUGCACGGACACAGGUAUCACCAGAGAAUGGCGCCCUGAGCCCUCACCCCCAGUGUGUGUAUGCGUGUGCAGAUGCGCACACUUCACCAGGGUGUCGCUGCCUGACUCAGGGGACGAUGGGAACCUCCUUCCUGUCCUGCAAGCCUCCGCCUCAUCUUUGAAAGACUCACGGAGCUCCCAGUUCUUACCCACCUGUUAGGUGGGAAAUUCAAACCUGGGCUCUGAAGGGAGCGGCCCUUCAUCCUCUGCCCUUCCCAGACCCUAAUCCGGGCCUCCGGGAUGUUUCCCCAGCAGCCCGUGGGCUUCCAUCCUCAGCUGUGGGCCUUCCAGUGGGUAGGCGCUCAUCACUGUAGACAGCACACAGAGGAGCCCGCCCGCUGGGUCCUGGGGCACGGCUGCCCCUCUCCCAGUCCCCGUCCCUGUUCCCUGAAUCACAGGCAGCAGAGAAGCUGGCUCCACAGCUGGCCUUGCUUGCCCUCUUGGCUGGGGAAAUU
rnacentral:lncRNA from 10 species